rnacentral:rRNA from 1 species
CCUACGGGAGGCAGCAGUAGGGAAUAUUGCGCAAUGGGGGAAACCCUGAAGCAGCAACGCCGCGUGGACGAUGAAGGUCUUAGGAUUGUAAACUCCUUUUGUGAGAGAAGAUAUUGACGGUAUCUCACGAAUUAUGAAUGGCUAAAUCCGUGCCAGCAGCCGCGGUAAUACGGAGGGUGCAAGCGGUACUCGGAAGGACUGGGCGUAAAGUGUGCGGAGGCGGGGUUGUAAGUCAGAUGUGAAAUCUUGGCGCUUAACUAGAGAACUGCCUUUGAAACCAUGAGUCUAGAGUGUAGGAGAGGUAGGUGGAAUUCUUAGUGUAGGGGUGAAAUGCGUAGAUAUCAAGAGGAAUACUAGUGGCGAAGGCGACCUACUGGAACAUUACUGACGCUGAGGCGCGAAAGCGUGGGGAGCAAACAGGAUUAGAUACCCUAGUAGUC